rnacentral:rRNA from 1 species
AGCGAACGCUGGCGGCAGGCUUAACACAUGCAAGUCGAACGCAUCCUUCGGGGUGAGUGGCAGACGGGUGAGUAACGCGUGGGAACGUGCCCUUCAGUUCGGGAUAACCCAGGGAAACUUGGGCUAAUACCGGAUACGUGCGAGAGCAGAAAGAUUUAUCGCUGAAGGAUCGGCCCGCGUCUGAUUAGCUAGUUGGUGGGGUAAUGGCCCACCAAGGCGACGAUCAGUAGCUGGUCUGAGAGGAUGAUCAGCCACAUUGGGACUGAGACACGGCCCAAACUCCUACGGGAGGCAGCAGUGGGGAAUAUUGGACAAUGGGCGCAAGCCUGAUCCAGCCAUGCCGCGUGAGUGAUGAAGGCCUUAGGGUUGUAAAGCUCUUUCGUCCGGGACGAUAAUGACGGUACCGGAAGAAGAAGCCCCGGCUAACUUCGUGCCAGCAGCCGCGGUAA